AGCUGACUCAUGGAGGCUUUCAGAAGAUGUGGAAAGGGACCUGAGUCUCCACGUCUCACUGGCUGCACUGUCAUGGUGACCCUAUGCCAACAUCCAGUCUAGAACAGAAAACUGCCUCUGUCACAGACUUAGCCUGGCCCUGUGUUUGCAUCACCCACAAGAAAGGACCUAAGGUACCCCACUCAAUUUGAAAGAAGAUGAUGAGUAUCAAAACCCAGCAUUUGGAGUUACUUCACUGAUGACAAGCUAGCCACUGAGCAAAGAAAAUGCCCUACCUUCAUCUGCAGACAGAAU